UACUGACAGCUUUCCAUGAUCAACUGAUCUAGCUCGAGUUUAUGGUCAUGGUUUUGAGGAAUACCAAUGACCUUCGAUGGUGGACACUUGGAUUGUGCCAAGCCAAGUGGAUUUUGAACUCACAACAACGACAAGUAUAAUGUUGAAUAGGAUUUGUAACUCUUUAAGAAUUUAAUUGAGAAUUUGAAAGAUCCAAUUCGAGGUAUCCGAUCUCUAAUGGAAUCGAAUCACCUGCUCAUCAUGAGAUUGAGAGGUAUAAAGCAGAGAUUAAGAAGCUUCAGGAAUGCAACUACUUAAGAGCUGUACUACUGUGGUGAAGCAUGUUUGGUAUAGAAAAGCCUAUCGUGAGAUCAAAUAUAAAUAUCAAGAUUCAAGGAAGCUGGAUGGAUAAUGGCGUUUCUACUUUCGAGUUAGAUAGACAUCAUCAUCUACCUUGAUAAGAAGAUCAGAUUCUUUUCUUUGUUGAAUUUCUAAUACAUACAUAAUAAACCGUUUUCUGCAGUAGUACAAAUUGCCUUUUUUUUGUUGCUUUGCAAUGUUCUCGUUUGUUUGGUAGAUACCAAAUUCUAAGCGGUAAUCUGGAUGACUUUUUAGGACCUUGCAGAGAUAUGCGAGAAGAUAGAACCAAAUCGCUGGCAGCUGUUCAGGCUAUGGAGCUUGCCAAAGAGCGUGAAAGAUUAAGAGAUCUGCAGCUAUCUCUACAGGGUGGGUAUAUAUUACCUACUUGUAGCUUGGUGCUUCUUUUGUAUUCUCACUUGCCUUACUUUCACCAGAGGAGUGAAUCUUGCAAGGAGGAACUCGAGUCUCUGAGGUUAGAAAAUAACAGAGUCUUUGAGUUAGAAUAACUCAAAAUUACUUGAAAUCAAACACUUGCAGAUGAAGUUGAAUGGUCGGGAGAGCCAUGCUUUUGGAACUGCCAUGGAACAUCUAAAAGAAGCUAACCAAUUUCUGGAGAAAGAAAACAACGAGCUAAAGUUUAAACAAAGUGAGUUAGAAGCUGCUUUAGAAGAGAGCAGGAAGCCAACCAGUAGCCAAGUAUUCCCUGACGCCACAGAGGAUCGGACCAGGCAUUCUAGUGUGGACAAGGAUCUUAUACCAGAAGGGACUUUAUUUUAAACACAGCACUGCUUUCAUUAAAUGUGGGGCAAGUUUUAUCCUUGCUUCUUAUGUUUUUUUCCAUAUUUAACUAGGAGAAGCCUGAAAUCUUCCCUGGAAAAGAUGAAAUGGAGCAAUCCUUACAAAGGUUGGAAACAGAUUUGAAGGAAACACGACAAGAAAGGGAUAAGGCACGGAAAGAACUGUAACGGCUCAAACAACACUUGCUAAAAAAGGAACAUUUUGAACGAGAGCUUGCAGUGGCUAAAGACGAGUUGAUGAAGCUUUACGCUCGUUUGAAAGAUUCUGAUUAGCGGAUAGAGUCAUCAAAUAAAGAAAAGGAAGAUGUCACAUCCAAAUUGUUGCACGCGGAAAAGGUUGCAGCGGAAUGGAAAAACAGAGUAAGCAAGGUUGGAGAAGACAAUCCAAAAGUACGACGUGUUCUUGAGCAUAGCAUGACAAGGCUCAAUAGAAUGUUAAUGGAGUCGGAUUAUCUUGUUGAUAGGCAAUAUCACUUUAUAUAUAUUUAGUUUCAGUUAUCCUCUGUUUGAAUUAGCAGUUCUGAUGCAAUGGUGAACCAAAAUGUCUCUUUGCAGGCGAAUUGUUAUCAAAUUGCUGGUUACAUACUUCCAGAAAAGUCAUAGCAAAGGUAAUAAACAUUGGACUGAUUCUGAAAUCCGGUUUUGAGACAUGUAUGGUACUGAAC